AUCAACUGUGCAAGGAGUAGACGAACAAAUCCUGAACUGAAAAUGUUCAGAUUCCCGUCCAAAAUAAAGAAAGAUUACGCGAGUGGAUUUUAAAUUCAGUGGCUGGGAGAUUGGCGCCUCCUGUAAUCCGAUGCGUCUCGGAAGCCGUUGUGCGGGAGAUGACUGUGUCCAUGGCGCAGUUAGGACUGUCCUGCGGGCCCCAGGGCGUCCGCGGUUCUGGGUUCACCCCAUGUGCUGCAUCGGGCGGGCGCUCGGCCUGCCCUGGAGAGAUGCGCCUAGUAUGCGCCGUCAGAAGCAUUGCCGGCGAGUGCGAGAUGCGGCGACGGGGGCCGCAGUGUGGGUAUCGGGCCGGGCUCGCUCCGCGCCCCGGCAGUCGCCAGCGCCACCAGGCCUGUGCCGCUGAGUGAGUGCGGCGGAGGGUAAGGACGCGCGCGACCCGCGCCCGCCAAGUGCCCCCUCCCCACAGUCACCCGCCAGCAGCUGCCCUGUAGCGCUGGGUGAAGACGGGGCCCUCGACCGUACAACAAUUUUUUUUCUGUAAACAAAUACUACGGUACGUGACUUGUACUAGUGACGAGCAUUUCAUUCCUUCGAGAAGAAUAAUAGCCGAAUUUUCGAGGGUCUCGAAAAGCUUCUCAAGAAUUCCCUUGAACGGAGCAUUAAAAAUGUGAUUUGCUUUC